rnacentral:lncRNA from 1 species
UUCUGUUUGAAUCGCCGGCAUAAGAACUUUUCUUGGCAGAUCCCUUUUAAGAAGUAGCCUUCCACGAUGCUCCAUUUCAAACAUCAAACAGUAAUUUAAUACAUGCUUUCUAUAUGUUUUUGUUGAUGCACAGUCCUUUUUUUUUUACUUGAGAAAGCAUAUCCAUGCUUUGGUUUACUGAUCCCGGAAAACUUAUUCUUGCUUUGGGUGCAUGGAGGCUUCCUUCUUCAACUUCUAGCCUCAUGAGAUGUGCUUCUGUAUAGAAGAUGAUUUGUUUUGAGUUAAACCC